GCCGGUGUAGCUCAGGGGUAGAGUGCUUCCUUGGUAAGGAAGAGGUCUCGGGUUCAAAUCCCGACAUUGGCUCAA
rnacentral:tRNA from 22 species